rnacentral:rRNA from 1 species
UUGCGGUUGACUCUGGCGUCAUCUCGAGACAGAAGAGUGCUUUUAUUAGUCCAAGAUCAUACGGGCUUCGGUCCGUGGUGUGUGGUGACUCUGGAUAACUUUGCUGAUCGCUCGGUUACGGCCGGCGACGCUUCUUUCAAGUGUCUGCCUUAUCAACUGUCGAUGGUAGGUUAUGCGCCUACCAUGGUUGUCACGGGUAACGGAGAAUCAGGGUUCGAUUCCGGAGAGGGAGCCUGAGAAACGGCUACCACAUCCAAGGAAGGCAGCAGGCGCGCAAAUUACCCACUCCCGGCACGGGGAGGUAGUGACGAAAAAUAACAAUACGGGACUCUUUUGAGGCCCCGUAAUUGAAAUGAGUACACUCUAAAUCCUUUAACGAGGAUCAAUUGGAGGGCAAGUCUGGUGCCAGCAGCCGCGGUAAUUCCAGCUCCAAUAGCGUAUGCUAAAGUUGCUGCGGUUAAAAAGCUCGUAGUUGGAUCCCAGUUGCAGACAGGAAGGGCAUCUACACGAUGCGACGUCCUGCACUGGACAUCAUACCUACUGUUCCUUGGUGCCCUUCAUUGGGUGCCUUGGGGUGGUCGGUGCAUUUACUUUGAAAAAAUUAGAGUGCUCAACGCAGGCGCAUUGCCUGAAUAACCAUGCAUGGAAUAAUGGAACAAGACCUUGUUUCUGUUUCUGUUGGUCUUUGGAAAACGAGGUAAUGAUUAAGAGGGACAGACGGG